UCGCGCAUGCUCAGAUCUGCAGGUCUAAUUAAACGUAUGUAAAUUUUGUAAAAUUGAAAAAUGAAAAUGGAAGCAAUGGAAGCGAGUCAGAUCAGGUAAUGAUUGCUGAACUUGAAGAUCACUUACUUGCCCUAAUGUCACUGUGGCAAGCAGUUUCAAAAUGAAUAUUGCAUCACCUUAUUACAGUUUUAAUUAUACAUUUUCUGUAUGUUUAAUUGUUUAUAUACUCUGUAAUAAUUAUAUUCUAAUGUCUUAUCAGUUGUAAGGAUACUUAAAAUUUAUAGAA